UUUGACAUGUACGGAAUCCUUUAGAGAUAGAGGAGUGCUCGAAAGAGAGCCGUAACACAGGUGCUGCAUGGCUGUCAUCAGCUCGUGUCGUGAGAUGUUGGGUUAAGUCCCGCAACGAGCGCAACCCUUGUCAUUAGUUGCUACAUUCAGUUGGGCACUCUAAUGAGACUGCCGGUGACAAACCGGAGGAAGGUGGGGAUGACGUCAAGUCCUCAUGGCCCUUAUAGGUGGGGCUACACACGUCAUACAAUGGAUGGUACAAAGGGUCGCCAACCCGCGAGGGGGAGCCAAUCCCAUAAAGCCAUUCGUAGUCCGGAUCGCAGUCCGCAACUCGACUGCGUGAAGUCGGAAUCGCUAGUAAUCGCGGAUCAGCACGCCGCGGUGAAUACGUUCCCGGGCCUU
rnacentral:rRNA from 1 species